rnacentral:tRNA from 1 species
GUUGUAGCUCAGUGGUAGAGUUCUUGUCUAGCAUGCUUGAGUCACUGGGUUCGAUCCUCAGCACAACA